rnacentral:rRNA from 1 species
GAUCCUGGCUCAGGACGAACGCUGGCGGCGCGCCUAACACAUGCAAGUCGAACGGAGUUUACAGACGGGAGUUUUCGGAUGGAAGCUUGUAAACUUAGUGGCGGGCGGGUGAGUAACACGUGAGCAACCUGCCUAUCAGAGGGGGAUAACGAUUGGAAACGAUCGCUAAUACCGCAUGACAUAGCGGAAUCGCAUGGUUCUGUUAUCAAAGAUUUUAUCGCUGAUAGAUGGGCUCGCG